GACGAACGCUGGCGGCGUGCCUAAUACAUGCAAGUCGAGCGAUGAAGCUUGGUGCUUGCACCAAUUUGAAGAGCAGCGAACGGGUGAGUAACGCGUGGGGAAUCUGCCUUUGAGCGGGGGACAACAUUUGGAAACGAAUGCUAAUACCGCAUAACAACUUUAAACAUAAGUUUUAAGUGUGAAAGAUGCAAUUGCCUCACUCAAAGAUGAUUCCGCGUUGUAUUAGCUAGUUGGUGAGGUAAAGGCUCACCCAGGCGAUGAUACAUAGCCGACCUGAGAGGGUGGUCGGCCACAUUGGGACUGGGACACGGCCCAAACUCCUACGGGAGGCAGCAGUAGGGAAUCUUCGGAAAUGGACGAAAGUCUGACCGAGCAACGCCGGGUGAGUGAAGAAGGUUUUCGGAUCGGAAAACUCUGUUGGUAGGGAAGAACGUUGGUGAGAGUGGAAAGCUCAUCAAGUGACGGUAACUACACAGAAAGCGACGGCUAACUACGUG
rnacentral:rRNA from 1 species